CUACGGGGGGCUGCAGUAAGGAAUAUUGCACAAUGGGGGGAACCCUGAUGCAGCAACGCCGCGUGGAGGAUGACGCAUUUCGGUGUGUAAACUCCUUUUAUAUGUCAAGAAAAUGACGGUAGCAUAUGAAUAAGCACCGGCUAACUCCGUGCCAGCAGCCGCGGUAAUACGGAGGGUGCAAGCGUUACUCGGAAUCACUGGGCGUAAAGGACGCGUAGGCGGGUUGGAAAGUCAGGUGUGAAAUCCUACAGCUUAACUGUAGAACUGCACUUGAAACUUCUAAUCUAGAGUAUGGGAGGGGGAGAUGGAAUUAGUGGUGUAGGGGUAAAAUCCGUAGAUAUCACUAGGAAUACCUAAAGCGAAGGCGAUCUCCUGGAACAUUACUGACGCUAAGGCGUGAAAGCGCGGGGAGCAAACAGGAUUAGAUACCCUUGUAGUC
rnacentral:rRNA from 1 species